rnacentral:rRNA from 1 species
AAUCAACGCUGGCGGCGUGCCUCAGACAUGCAAGUCGAACGAGAAAGUCCCCUUCGGGGGAUGAGUAAAGUGGCGCACGGGUGAGUAACACGUAGGUAAUCUACCUUCGGGUGGGGAAUAACCCAGGGAAACUUGGGCUAACACCGCAGUAAUGCAGCGGCACCACAUGGUGACAGUUGUCAAAGCGGGGGAUUUUAGGACCUCGCGCCUGAAGAGGAGCCUGCGGCGGAUUAGCUUGNGGUAAGGUAACGGCUUACCAAGGCGACGAUCCGUAACCGGCCUGAGAGGGCGGUCGGGUCACACUGACACGUGACAUACGGGUCAGACUCCUACGGGAGGCAGCAGUCGGGAAUUUUGGGCAA